UACGGAGGGUGCUAGCGUUGUUCGGAAUUACUGGGCGUAAAGCGCGUGUAGGCGGCCCGCUAAGUCUGAUGUGAAAGCCCGGGGCUCACCCCCGGAAGUGCAUUGGAGACUGGCGGGCUCGUGUCCCGGAGAGGAGGGUGGAAUUCCUGGUGUAGCGGUGAAAUGCGUAGAUAUCAGGAGGAACACCGGUGGCGAAGGCGGCCCUCUGGACGGUGACUGACGCUGAGACGCGAAAGCGUGGGGAGCAAACAGG
rnacentral:rRNA from 1 species